rnacentral:rRNA from 1 species
UACGUAGGGUGCGAGCGUUAAUCGGAAUUACUGGGCGUAAAGUGUGCGCAGGCGGCAAAGCAAGUCGGGUGUGAAAGCCCCGGGCUCAACCUGGGAAUUGCAUUCGAGACUGCAUGGCUAGGAUGCGGAAGAGGGAAGCGGAAUUUCCGGUGUAGCGGUGAAAUGCGUAGAUAUCGGAAGGAACACCAGUGGCGAAAGCGGCUUCCUGGUCCAGCAUCGACGUUCAGGCACGAAAGCGUGGGGAGCAAACAGG